rnacentral:lncRNA from 10 species
CUCAAGUUUACCACAAUGCCCUUCUCAUCGGGGUCCCACUGGAACUCCAUGAGUGUAUGUGUGAUCAAUUGCAAUUGCUCAACGGCUGGAAUGGUUGACCUCUGGGAUUACCUUUUUCCUGGGCUUCCAGGCUGCCCAAGACCCUUGUAAAUAGACACAUUCUUUUUAGACAGGUUAAAGCCAUACUCCAGACCUGGGAUCCAACUUGCUUCUUUUCAGUGACUUUGCAUAUCUCUAAACUGAAACAAGUGACAAAGAUUUCAUAGUGUGAUGUGAGAAUCCUCCAAUUUCAUUUCUUUUCAUACUCUAGGCACAGCAUGUACCACUUCACCAACUACUCAGUCAAUAUGCAUCUCACCCCUGCCCCCAGCUGUGAAGAUAGAGGCUACAAACAACGAGAGAAUGACACUGGGGUAUCUCACAGCAUCAAAUGAAUAACUGAAGAAUUAAGCCUCAAGAAAGCAGGAACCAGGAAUUCUCCAGAGACCUCAAGCACAAGAACCAGGAACUGAAACACCAUUAGAACUGUCUCUUCACCUUCCUUCUGUCCUUUGUUCUGCAUGUUACCUUCACUUUCUUUUACUAAAGAAAGUUAAGAACAUGGUCUCUGGAACCAGUGCCUGAGAUUUGAAUCCUAGCUCUGCUCUUCCAACUGAAUGACCUUGAGCAAGUUACUUACCCUCUCUGUGCCUCAGUUUUUUUAUGGAGAUAACACUAGUGCCUACUUUGUAUGAUUGCUUGAGGAAUAAAUGAUUUUUCUAAAGCACUUGGAAGAAUCCCUCCCACACCCCCAGGCUCUGCCUUAUCUAAGAGAAGAGUUUGGACAACAAGAGUAUUAAUCAGCAAUCUAGCCUGCGAGGCUGAAGAUAAUAAACUGAGGUCCCAUUCAGGCCAAUGGUUGGAUCCAAUGCCAUGGAUGGGGUAGGGGGCAGCAGGAGCCAUGGUGCUACUCAGGGUCAGGCAGGAGACAUAUCAUUUAGUGAGGAGCAGGGGAACCUAUUCCCACAUGUGGCAUUUAUUCUCAGACCCUUACUCUACCAUUGCUCCCUUUACUGGCAACAGAUGACCUCAUCUACUACGUCAAGGCAAAACUAGACAUCUUGCCCUCUACCCUACCCCUACAUUCUUUCAGAGAUGUCUGCUCUGAAGCCCAUCCACAUUGCCUUUCCUCCCCCUCUGUGAAUUAUCUGUCCUUUCUGCAGAUUAUUUAAGAAUAAUUCCCUCCACUGUCCUUUCAUGCCCCCAACGCUCUUCCUCAAGACCAUGUCAGCCGUGGUGUUCUUCCCAUUCUCCGCAUAUCUUCCACCCACUCUCCUCAUAUCUUCCACCUCAUCCUCCUCCUGGCUCUUUCCAUUAGCAUUGAAACAAGCUCGGGUCUCUCCCACCCUAAUCACAAAUGGCACUCCUUUGACUCCCCUUCCCAGCUAGCAGCUCAAAAAGUUGUCUUCACUCCCUGCCUCCACUUCUGCCCUCCCAUUCUCUCCUCAGCCCUAUGUUCUCUAGUUCUCAUUCUCACUUCUUCUGAGAAGCUGACAAAUGCCUGGGCCUCUGCUAUAUUAGACAUCACUGCUAUCCCUAUUUUGAACACCCUCCUCCCUGAGUUUCUAUGGUAACACUCUCUUGGUCAUUCCCCUGCCUCUCCAACCGCUCCUUCUCCAUGUCUCUUGUAUGCUCCUCCAUCUUCCUCCACCUACCCUUGAACAAUCUAUCUUCCCCCAGGUUCCAUCCUCUCUUAAUCUUACAGUUUCCAUAGGUGACCUCAACUACCUUCAACCACCCCCAACAUGAGCUAAUGAUUCUCAAAUCUAUAUCCAUUAUCUUAGUCCUCCCUCUGAAUGUCAGAUUAUUUAUCCAACAGCCUAUGUGGCAUCUUCACUUGGAGGUCCCCCUGAGGCAUUGCAAACUCAGCAUGUGGGUGUAGGGGAUAGUUCCUGAAGCCAUGUCAUGUGGAGAAUGGCUGAAAACCUAGGAGGUAUCUGAUCCACAGAGGUGACUCAGAUGGAUUAUGGUAGUAAAGUGGGCCAUAGUCUGGGUCAGCUGGGAAAGGUGCUGGAGAUAUUCUGUGUGUACCCCAAGGGGUGACAUGAGGACUAAUGAUUGGAAAAUUGGAAAAGACAGAUUUCAGCUGAACCUAAAGAAGACCCUUUGGAAGUCAGAGUAGCUCAAAGGUAAACUUGGGUACCUUGUAAGUUACCUCAGUUAUUGACAGCAUUCAAGCACCAGGCUUUAAACUCCCUCAAUAAGACAGGGCACAGUGGUUCACACCUGUAGUCCCAACACUUUGGGGAGGCCAAGGCGAGAGGAUCACAUGAGGCCAGGAGUUUGGGACUAGGCUGGGCAACAUGGUGAGACACCGUCUCUACAAAAAGAAAAAAAAGAAAAAAAAAAUUCCCUCAAACUUCAGGAGUCUGUGAUUCUGUAAGAAAGCAAAAUGGAGCUUAUGCAGAUUUGACCAAAUACCAUGAAACCUGGUACUACUGCUGCUUAUUAAUUGGGCAUUGGUUUGCUGUUGGGGGCCCUGACCCUCUGAAGUGGAAAUAACAACAGGGAUGUUUUAGGAUACCUGAGAGAAGAGAAGAAAUUGAAUACGUUCUCAAGUGGGAAGGACUGAUAGUCAAAGGAAAACUCACCAUGGCAUGACUUUCUUGGAGGUAUUUGUACUUAGUUAUAUUUGUAAGGAACCUCUCAGUGGAUAUGGAUUUGGCAUGACUCGUAUUGCAGUAGGGCCUUUGUGCUAAGGUUCUGUUUCAACAAACCUAACGAGAUAUCCUUUGAGGCAGGGCCCCCUGAAUCUGGGUGGAGUAAAAUGGCCUGACAACCAGGCUGGGAAGGACUUUUGUGACUGAGUUUACAGAUACCUCUGCCUUCUAAGCAGAGGACAGAAGACAAGAAUUGCUGUCUGGAAAAGGAUAGCUCCCACUUACAGCCAGCUCCAUGAACAUCUAUAAGACAAUGUACCCCAACUCUAUGACAGCUCCAUCCCAUCCCAUCCCAUAAUAUGUAUCAUACUUAUAUUUUCUUGCUUAUGUGGCUCCUACAACCUCUGCUUCCUUUCUCCCCAUUUAAAACCUUCUUAUGAACAGAUUUCUCUGACUUGCAUCUAGCUUUUUCAUACCUGGAUUUUCCAGCUUUGUCUAGUCCCUUUGAAUUCAUGAUUUAACUGGAUUAUUUCCCAUAGCAUCACUCUUAGACCUAGGACCUAUGUUUUAGAGGGUUCUUCUUUGGGGAAAUCUAUGGUCCCUAAGGGAUGUGCCCAUCUGGAGUCCAAACUUCCUUCUGGGCCAUCUUGCAGGUACCUGGGACCCUGGAAUUUCCUAUCCAAACAGUCCUGAUCCUGAUUCCAGGGCCUGGACAAGCAUCUUCUCUGGGUCUGGAGAGGGGACCUUGCUGCCUGUGAGUGAACUCCCAGGCCUGAGGGGUGGCUGAGGCCAGUGCACAGGGCUUUUUGAGAUGCAAGAUGGAGCCAGGGCCAGGAAGAGAAGGGGGAAGACUGGGGGCUGGGAUCCUCUGUUUGUACUGCUGCCCUGGCCCUGCUAAUCCUAGAGGUUCCAGGUACGAAGAUGAAUGAGGUCCAGCCCCUGGCCCAAAGGAACAUCAAGAACACAAGUAAACUAGGGAUCAAAGUUGAACUAAAGAUUGUUUCUUUCUUCUAUCUAAAGCCUGGAGCCUGGAGAGGCCUUCAAUGUGCUGCUCUCUACUCCCUCUGAAUGAUCUGCACCUCCCCAGCAGGAGGCAACCCCACCUCAAAGUGUUGCCCUCUCAAAAUGCUCUCCAGUUCAUCAAGACCCCAAUCUUACAACUGGGGCUCAUCUCAGAAGAGAAGAGGGUAGUAAGAGGGUGCUAUCUCUUCCCUCUGUGCCUCAGCUUCUUCAUCUGUCAAGCGGAAGUCAUAUCUGCCCCCUCACUUCUCCAGGAUUACUUUGAGGAUAAAAUUAGAAUUGAU